rnacentral:rRNA from 1 species
UACGAAGGGGGCUAGCGUUGCUCGGAAUCAUUGGGCGUAAAGGGUGCGUAGGCGGCGAUGUUAGUCUCCCGUAAAUCUUUCGGCUCAACCGAGAGUCCGCGGGGGAAACGGCAUUGCUUGAGGACGGGAGAGGUUUCUGGAACUCAUGGUGUAGCGGUGAAAUGCGUUGAUAUCAUGGGAACACCAAAAGCGAAGGCAAGAAACUGGCCCGCUCCUGACGCUGAAGCACGAAAGCGUGGGUAGCAAACAGG